rnacentral:rRNA from 1 species
UGGGGGAUAUUGCACAAUGGGCGAAAGCCUGAUGCAGCGACGCCGCGUGGGGGAUGAAGGUUUUCGGGUUGUAAACCUCUUUCGCUAUCGAACAAGGCCCGCUUAGGGUGGGUUGAGGGUAGGUGGAGAAGAAGCGCCGGCUAACUACGUGCCAGCAGCCGCGGUAAUACGUAGGGCGCGAGCGUUGUCCGGAAUUAUUGGGCGUAAACGGCUUGUAGGCGGCUUGUUGCGCCUGCUGUGAAAACGCGGGGCUUAACUUCGCGCGUGCAGUGGUUACGGGCAGGCUUGAGUGUGGUAGGAGUGACUGGAAUUCCAGGUGUAGCGGUGGAAUGCGCAGAUGUCUGGAGGAGCACCGAUGGCGAAGGCAGGUCACUGGGCCAUUACUGACGCUGAGGAGCGAAAGCAUGGGUAGCGAACAGG